UUUUUUUUAGAGCUAGGCUGGUAUAUUAUCAGUAGUACGGAGGCCUCCGUGCUACCAAGUUGUUUUCGAUGAUGCAGCUUCCAAGUCGACAAUCGGCUCCGUUAGACUUGAUCUAUACCAUUGAAAGUAUUUGGAAACUAAAUUUCAUAAUUUUUCAACAUUAUUUGGUUAGUGAUCAAAAGGUUUCAAAAUUAACAAUUUUAAUGGUAGAUGCGAUGCGUUUGUGAGUUUAACGGUGUAAAACAAUUCAAAUCUGAUGAAUUUUUUAUAAAAAAUUAUUUUCACUAUUUAGAGUAAGUUCAGUACAUCUGAUCUUAAAUUCAAGUCUUUUAUCAUCAUUUUUUAUUAGAUUUUUAUUUUCAGCCGUUUAUUUUUAGACUACUCGUUUGAUAGGUAAAUGAUGCCGAAAAAUUAUGAAAUUUAGUUUCCAAAUACUUUCAAUGUUGUAGAUCAAGUCUAACGGAGCCGAUCGUCGAUUUAAAACCCGCAAUAUUGAAAACAACUUUAUAAUACGGAGCCUUUCGUGCUAUCGAUAGUACACUCAGCCUAGUUUUUUUUUUAACCUCCUCAACUUGUAUAUUAUAUACACAACCAUU
rnacentral:lncRNA from 1 species